AAAUAAGCGGAUAUGCUAUCAGCACCGGGCUUUGCAACGCUCUUUAGUGUCUGGCUGCGUCCCAACCAUCAAUACAGAGACUCGCAGGGUUUUAGCCUAUAAUCCUCUAUUCCCCUGUCUGUGACUCUAAUCUCUUGAUCCUCCAUUCUCCUCCAGCCUAUAGCUUGACCAACAAAACACAGAUCUGAAGUUCUGCUUAUCAGAGACCAACCAUGUCAUCAUCUUCCUGUGGAAAAUGGGAGUUGGGAAGAGAGUAGUAGUCAUCAGAGCCAAGAGCUGAGAGCAGGCUUGAGAAGGGAACAGGAGAGGGCGUGAGCAAGCACACACAGAAAUCACUUAUGACAAGACUGAAAGCAGCUUUCUUUUUAAGAACAUUUUUUCCAAUUUUACAGUAUCAUUUUUGUCUUUUUUUCUGUGUAUAAUUCUAGCCUCGGGUAUAAAACGCAAUUGGCUAGCUAAUGCGCUGCACAAAACAUCUACAAACGAACGUUGCAAGAGACUGACUGCAGGCACCGAGGGAACAUUCACGUCUGCCUAUGAGUGUGCGCCCAAGAGCCUGUGAAACUACUGCUGUCAUUCCACGCUGGAGAGGUGGUGCCGUCGUCUGUGAGGCAGCUUUGAAGCUCUGCAGUGCAUCUGUCAGAACAAAGGGUGCAGAACUACAGAGGAACAAGGCAUUUGGUAGAAAGCUGUGUGAGCCACGCGCGGGCCUGAAGAUGCGUGAGCUGGGGGGAAUGUUGUUCUAGGGGCUGCCCUGACUCAGGUGAACACAUCUGAAAAGACUUACCUUGUUAACAUCAGCCUGAGCACAGGCUGCAAACCUGCAGAGCGAGAUGCGCUGCAGGGUUCAACAGAGAUUAUUUUCUUAGGGAGUACACGGGGAAUUAAAGGGAGCCCACAUGAAGUCACAGACAGAUAAAGAUGCAAAGCUUGACAUAAAGCACUCUUAGGAAGAUGCUGGCAUAAACGAGCAGAGGAAGAGAAGGAAAGUAAUGUCAUAUCAGAGCGAAAAUUGAGGAUGAAUGCCAUUCUUGAUUAUCGCAACCUGGAUUCCUGACCAAGAAAGGUUUGUAAUAGAGCAGAAAUGAGCCUUGGCAUGGAGGGGUUAAAAGAUUACUUAUCCUGAGGGAAUUGAAUUAGCCACAUAUCUGGGAACUAACUUCUCCCAGGCCCUGACUUGUUUUUCUCCUUAAAUGUCUUCUGCUGCUAUUUUUAGCAGAGAAAUUUCUCAGUCGAAUGCUCCCAGUUGAGUCCCGGUCAGAGGCCCUUUUCCCAGAGAGACGCAGGCCGGGCAGCAGGAGGGUUGCAGCUCUGCCUGGAAGAUCCUUCCUGGCUGUGUGCUGGUCCCCAGUUCAGCUUAGCUCUGUCGCAUUGUCCUGCCAGCUUUGGGCUUUACACGUCACACGCCGGGUCUCUCCUGAAGCACAGGGGACAAUCCCCCCACCCGCCUGCUGCAGGCACAUUAAAUGCUCCCCAAAAGCCAGAGGAGGCUACAAUCCGGUCUGCAGUUUCCCAAGCAGCUAAGGAAGAGCGUUUGGCUGGAUUUGAUAACUGCCUGCAGGCUUUUUAGGAGUAUGAAUGGGAAAAAAAAAAAAAAGUGGAAAGGAGAUACAAAGAAAUGAUUAGGCUGACAUUAAUAACAGGAUCUGCUUCUCAGCACUAAAAUCAAUUUGGAUUCCUUCCAGUUCCUCCAAGGGAAACCAUGGAAGCCUUUAUUGUUCAUAAAAGUUGCAACUAAAAUUGGACUGGAUAAGGCUUAAGAAAAUACCUCUCGGUGGAGAACUCUGCUUUGGCUGCUUGAAACAAAUGAGGCCCGGUGUGCCCAGAAGCUCACAGACUCCAUCUGCACAACCAACACAGACCGUGGUAGGUUCUCCCACGGACGCAGCCUCUUCUUGCCUGAGUGGAUGGAGGAGCAGCUUUCGCACACCAGGCAGUGAGUGCCCUGGAGGCAUCAUUGAGUUUUUGACACUUUCUGUCCAAACCACUUCUCCCAUUUCCUUGGAGGACAACUCAGCAAGCUGGCACAGUCUCAUGGCCACAGACAUGCUACUCUCAAGUGGUUUGUUUCUGACAAGGAGUGUGUUAGGAACCUCUGGGUUGGAUGAGGUACAAAGACUCAGCUGGAAUGUGGGGUGGGUACAGCUGACCUUGAUGACCACCCCCAAUAAAGACCCUCACAGGCAUGUGCUUGCCACCUGUUUCAGCCAGCAGACGUGGGACUAAACCAGGAAUUCUGGAGCUGAAUGGAGAGUCUGUUAAAGUGGGGACUGAAGACUCCCACCCACAUGAAGCUGUCGCCGAUGGGUGCCCUCUUACAGCCUCAGGGCAGAGGAAUGUGUCCCUGCUCGUCGUGUGCAAGACUGCUACUCCCAGUUUAAAGUACAGCUCAAAUCUGCAAAGGAGCGCUGUAAAAAAAGAAACGUGGAAAGGAAAUCACCAGCCGAAACAAUGUCUAGAGACAACUCAAGCCAAGUCUCUCGAAUGGCAGCACCAGAAGGAAGGCUUCGAAAUGGAGAGCGUAGCUCAUUCUGCACCAGCUCUGCUGGCACAGACAGAAGAUCUGCCUCGGAGACAUGAGGAAAAGACAUAUGCCGAGAAAGGAAGGACCAGCUUUAUUUUACCAGCCUGUGUUCCCACCACAAGCCUGCCUUCCAAAGUAGGAAUUAAAUCCAAAGGUGCCUAUGCAUCUUCCUUACUGUCAUCCCCUUAUCAGUUAUCUCCAGGCUGCUCAGAGCCAGAAGAUGAAAGGAUCGUAACACCACUUAUCUUCCCACUUAAGAAAACUGCUAAACAGCUUGCUCUUAAAGAGGAGGACACUCAAGCCUGGGGAAGCAGCUGUAAAUUCUGCAAAUGGGCUCCCUCGCUUUUCUCUGAAGGAGCUGCUGCUUCUCAAUGAGGGACGCGGACAGGAAAAAGAAACCAAGGAGGGAGGCAAAGAGGGAAGCCUUUGUGGCAAAGAAAGACUUUGCCUCACGUCCAGAACAUGAAGCCGAGUGACAGAUGUGAGCCGUAUGGCAUGUGUGCCUCAGAAGUGGCCAAGGAUGAGCCAGGAAUUGAAAAGCUCCUGGGAAACAUUUAAGCAGCCAGUAUUAUGACAUGUUUGUCACUAGAGCACGAGAAGCUCCACAAACACGCUCUCCUUGUUACAGCCAAGAAGGUUAGGGAUCCCCUUACGUGCUGCAGGCAGAACUGCUGCACGCAACACAGCUCCAGCUCUAUCAGUUGAGGCCAGGCCACCACGCAUCCGCUGUGGUUCUACCGCGGAACCUGCCUGCUGCCUCAUCUUGGAACAUGACCCUCAUCUCCCCUCUUGGCAUCACAGUGAACCUGGGUCUAGCUUGCCUUUGUCAUUUAAUAGCUGAGUCAAACUGUCAAAACAGCCAAAUGAGAUCUGUUCCAAAUAUUUGCAGAAAGAGGAGGAUGAAGGAGCUGGCAGCGGAACACCAGGAGCCUCCCUGGGCAGGAGAACAAUUGCUAUUGUUGACCAACAGCGGGCAGCUGGCGGGCGAUGAGUGAGCCUCAGUGCGAUGUCAGGGAAAAAGCCCCCAAGCACCAGGAAUGAACCGGAAUCCAGACUCACAGAAUCAUAGAAUGGUUUCAGUUGGCAAAAGAUCUUUAAGAUCAUCAAGUCCAACCAUCUAUCCAGCCCUGCUAAAUCUGCCACAAGACCAUGUCCCCAAGUGUGACAUCUACUUGUCUAUUAAACACCUCCAAGGAUAGGGACUCAACCACCUCCUUGGACAGCCUCCUCCAAUCUUGAGAACCCUUUCCGUAAGGAAAUUUCUCCUAAUGCCCAAUCUAAAUCUCCCCAGCACAUCUUGAAGGCAUUUCGCCUUGUCCUGUUGCUGGCUACCAGGGAGAAGAGACCAACCCCCACCUCGCUACAACCUGCCUUCAGGUAGUUGUAGACAGUGAUAAGGUCUCCCCUGAGCCUCCUUUUCUCCACACCGAGUCCCGUCUGACCCCUGGCAAAGCCCCCACGAUCCAGCACUGCAGACUUAUCACCCGUGAUCGUAGCUCAGCUGUUGAAUUGGAGAACUCGAGGCGCAGUUGGCAGCUGGGAGAGGGGGGCAUUGGGUGUCUUAGAAGCUGCUGCCAGCCCGAACGCAGACUUCAAAGGGCUUUUCUUGCCCUGUGGUGUGGCAGAACAUGCAGAGCCCGUGGGUGAGGACAGCUGUGUGUAGGCCAGGCCCACCAGAGGAUUUCUGAUGGAAGAAGAAAGAAGUUAGUACCUGUGUAACCUCCCCUCCCACACAUGCAAGGCAGCUUUGGCAGGCAGACCUCUGCGCUGCCCUGUUAUUUAUGGGAUGUGGAAAGCUGGCCAAAUUGGAAGGUAAAACAUCAGAUACAUAAGGAUGCUUCCCAACUCAAACAGCCAGCUCUGCUUGAGACACAACACAUGAGGCUUGGGAGGCAAUUACAAUGCACUCUGCUUUUCAUCUCCAGGGAUGGGUUCUAAGGUUCAUUCCAAACCAUUCCAUGAUUCCUGGCACGUGCAUCCAGACCUGUCAGCACAGCACAGAUCAUUCACGUUGUGUUUUACUUCUUCCACAUUGACUGUUGGUACCCAAACACCUCAACAAAAGCAACCCCAAACUUCCAAAGACGAGGAAGGGAAGGCAGGGCUGGUUCAGAGGUACGAGUCUCCGUUGAACUCGCAGCUGGGGCUUCCCUUUCUGAGGUUUGUUACUGAUGCGCAGGACCUUGCUACUAUAGAGCGGAUGUUUUCCAGGCUCUAAAAAUAACUAAUUCCAAACAACAUGGUGGGUAGAAAGAAAUAUUUAUCUUUGGGCUUUUACAGAGAUCAAUGCAGAAGAAAAAGAUUAAAGCAAAGAUUUAAGUGUGUAUUAAAAAUAGCUGUUGAUAAGAUCCUUUGAGGGGAUAAAAGCUGUUUUACAGAAGCAGCAAGAACUUUGCAACACCUUCCCUGCCGUUAACUGUGUAAGCUCCCGGAAAUCAUUGAAGAGAGUGUUAGCAGCCAGAGCGCCCCGGGAGGAAGUCCAUUAGCAGGCAGCAAUCUCCUUAAUGGAUCCUCUGGGUAUGUGGUAGGAGCUGGACACUCGCUCCUUUCCACUGCUGUGAUUCAAGAGCUGCUCGUGUAGCCAUUAUCAUCCAGUACUCUAAGGAACGCUCCUCAUCUUCACGGCAGCCUGCUAGUGUGAUGAAUUAGUCUUUUGGGUGGCUUUCAUUGAGUGAGGACACAACUCGGUACAGUGAGUUUUUCCUUUUCUUUUUUUUGACAGCACCUAGCAGAGGCUGACACCGAGCUGUGAGCAGAACCGUGCGUGCUACUGUAACGCAGAAGAGGACUCUUGAGGACUCGGAAUCCUGUUGGGCUGCGGAAAUCUUUCCCCUCGCUAACUCCCUCCCACCACUUCAAGCCUGCUCUUUAAGGAGUUCACGAACCUUCUCCGGAUCAUCAGGGCUUGAUGCCAUCAACUGCGAAGCAUUAGCGCUAAAUAUACAACUGGGAGGUCAGUUCUGCUUCAGCACACAAACACUCAUCGCAAAGGACGAUAAAGCAGCAAACGCAAUUUGCAAGAGAAACAUAAAUAAUAAUUCAAAUGAGCUGUAGGGAAAGCAGGAGAAAAUCAGGGCUAAACAAUGUUUUACCCUUUGGAGGUGGUUAAAGUCAGGGGCAAACUGGCAGGCGGCUCAAAACCCACCCCCCACUGUUCUGUAGAGCAGCUUCUGCCCUGAUUUGUGAAGUUAAUGCAGAAGCUCAUUCCGCUUUAUUUACUUGUUUAGGUGAUUUUUUGGCAACUCAACGCGUGUUCCUGGUGCAAAUCUUCAGGGUGUGGACAGAUGACUGAAAAACAUUUGCAGCGAGCCAAGAGACCCAGCAUUCAACUUGUACAAGGAAAAUAAACAGGUCAGUGAAGGAACCCAAGUUCACAAUCAGAGCAACAUCUCGAUCCGCAGCCCUUUCUCCACACUAAGAAAACACAUUUUACUCUUUGAAUUUACUUGCGCUGCAGUCACAGAGUAAUUCUCAGAAGUAUUCGGAGCAAGAGGGAAUGUGCUGGUGUCACGUUCUUUGUCAACAGCUGUAAGGUAGAUGUGCAUCCAACAGCUCUUUGGUGGUGAUGCCAGAUAUUGCUCACCCAAAUAGGAACACCAAGCCCUGCCUAAGAAUUUUUUUGAAGAUGUUAUUGUCUGCUUUUGGCACAGCCCUCAAAGCUGUUUGUCCCGGUUUUUUACUGCCUGUUGAAAAGAAAGCAAUACUGCAAAUACUUCCCAUCAGAAAAUACCAACAAGCAACUUAUCAUGAUGGUAACAGAGCUAACGACAUUUCCACUGAGUGGCUUUUGGCACUGACAGCUGACUCGGAACAGUUGUUGGUGGCUGGGACAGAUGGACUUCAUAUUAAAAAAAGAACGAAAAGGGAAAUGAGAACUACUCUGUAGAUUUUGAAAAGCCCUUUGCAAAAUCCAGCCUGCUACCAAAACCUCAGAAUUAAAUCAAAGGGAGAUUUGAUCACCUUGAGCUUUAAAGCUGAAACGUGCCAGGGACUCGCUUGAUCUCCCCAGCAAGGACUCUAAGGUAUCAACAUGUUUUAUUUUCAACAAGGGCGAGUUUUGGGAAGGGGUCUACAGCUCUGCCCUCAGUCCAGCAUGUGGAAUCUUCAAAACCCAAAUGUUUGUUUCCACGGGGAAGCUUGCGACAGAGACCUCCAGGUAGGAGAUAACACUGAUGCCAGUUGUAAGCCCCACUUUCUCCUGACACCAAUAACUGCUGCUGGUAUAAUUAUGACCAUGGCAUUUCCCUGAUGCGCGGAAUAUUUAGAUGCUUUUAGUGCCUAAAGCGGGGUAUGCACUGACUACAUGCUUCACUGGCUCCUGUUUCAUGACGACGUUUUAAGGCCGUGAUCAAGAGCAGGGUCCGUUCUGGCAAUAACAUCGCAGAAGGAAGCAACCCCUGCUCCACAGCACUUACACUCUAAGCAUCUUACAGCCUAAAGCACGCGAGUCAGUUUUGCAGUGUGGGAUCUCAGCAUCUUGUUAGCUUUGUCAGCUUCCUUUUGUGCCUGUUUUUUUCCAAGUAGUCAGUUGGCAUCAAACACGUCCUUACGGUCUCACUCCUAUCUCGCUGCCCAGCUCCAACCCUGCAGACCGCAGCACAGGUUUAAUUUUACACACUGCUGACAGCAUAACCUUCACGUAGUGAGAUCCCCCCUGUGUUUAAACUCAAGUGUUACAGAACAAACUUUAUCCUCAGCCUCACUUCUGCCCAUUCCUUUGGGUUUAUGACCCCAAGUUUUAAACCAGCUGGAAAUCGUUGCAGGCUGAGGCACUUUGAUUUGGCCAGAACCCGCUGUAUUGAAACAGAGAGCAAAUCCUGUGGCCACUUGGUUUACUCACCAGAUAAAUGUUUUCAGGCAGAGGUGUGAAACCAGUGGUGUUCGGUUGGUUUUAGCAACUUUUGUCUAUCUAAAGAAACGCAGGAAUAGUUGUAGUUCAUUUCCAGCCCUGCUGUCUCUUGGCAAGAUGCUGAGGCACUGCUCACACAGCAGAGAAAGGCAAUGGGGCACUUUUCUACCCUGCAGCCCAACCGUAAGGAGAAGUUGUGUUAAUUCUGCUAUUUUUCUCAUUCAAAGGGAGCACUUGAAUCCAAAGUUUGCAUCUGGAAGACUACACGAUGCUCUAAGAUUAGGUGCUCCCAGUUUCUCCUGCUGAAACUGUUCCUGCUACAAACCAUAGCAAAGCAAGUGAACAACAGACCCAGGAGCGCGUGACAACCAUCUCCUCGCAGGCGAACCCGGGAGAUGGCACCAACUCACAGAGCGGCAGGUUGGACGCUCAGCCUGGUGACCCAGCUCAGGUCUUAAUGCUACCGGACACGCUGACAACAGUGAGUACGGCUUUCCCAAGGCCAGGGCUGUGUGGAGGAGACGGACACUACUCCCUUUUCCUCUGCCAGGGGUGUGGAAGCAAGAUUUGAUGGUCAUCGGGAAGGGGAUGCUCCCUCUCCUUCCUGAUCCUACCUAGGCGUUGGUUCACAAACAUGUUGAUAACUGUUAGAGCUGACGCUCUAUUGAAUUUUUCUCUGUUUUUGAAAGAAGCCAAGGGAUAGAGAGGGAAAAUAUUUGCUUAAGGAGAAUGAGGAUGUCCUGCAAAGCUUUGGACUCCCACGGUCCUGGUCGUACGCUCAGGCUGCUGACACUCUGGGCCAGAAGGAGCUGCUCUGGUUCCUCAGCAUCACAGCAAGAGAUCAGCCAGGUCUUCAAAUCCUUGCUAUGCAGAUAAGAACAACCUGCUAUUGCAGUGCCUCUUGCUGCCUCCCAGCAGACUUAUCCCCCUGCAAUCACCUCGUUCCCUUCCUGAAUCGCUGUUUAUUCUGGCUCUGAGGGCUCAUGCUGAUGUGGUGGAGCAGUCUUGUCAGCGAGCUGAAUUUUCCAGACUCUCCAAGAUUGUUUUGACAUGCUUGACUAGCAGUUGCUGUGUCAGCCAAGGGUCUCCCACCACCCAAGCAGCACCUUGCUGGCCAAACAACACAUGCCCUGGGGCGAGCAGUUAGCCAUGCAAACACCCCCACAUGCAUGCACACACCUAUUGCACUGCUUUAUUGUUUAAUAAGUGCUUUGGGUUUCGCCAUCCCAGCUCUCUGCAUGUCUCCAGCAGACAGUGCUAGGCUCCCCAGCUAAAGCUGGUUUUAAUAGCUCUUGAUGACUCCCAUGGAAAUCAGUUCCGUGUCGGGCUCUGGAUUGGCAAUUGUGCUCAAACACAGUAGGUUGUUUGAAAAGGAGUCGGGAAUUUGGUUCUUCUUGAUCUCUCAGGUAGAAAAUGGUGCUAUUUCCUUACCUCCACCUACCUGAGG